rnacentral:lncRNA from 1 species
AAACAACCAAAUGAAUCGUUUCCAUCCUCAACAUUCUCCUUGUCCAUUAGCAUCACUUACCUUGUUCAAAACCUGAAGAGUCCUCCUUUAUUUCUCCCUCUUCCUAGUCCCACAAAUCUAGCGGCCAAGUUCUAACGAGUGUACCUACAUAUCACUCAUAUAUUACCUCCUUUUCAAUACCCAUCACUGCAUCCCCUCUCCCCACACAAAAGUCUGUUAACUGGUUUCCCUAACUCCAGUUCUGCAUGUUCCUCGUCCAUCAUCUAUGCUACAGAUAAAAUGACCUUUCAAAAAUAUACAUCUGAUCACCACCCCUUCCCACCCCGGUGGAAGAUGCUGUCAAUGGGGCAAAACCACAGCUAUUUUCAACUCUUUUUUCUUAAUGCUACUAACUAAAGAAUGUAGUUGUGUUCUCACAACUCCCUUGCACCUAGUAACAACUAUAGUGCUCAUUUUGGGCCACAAGCUAUAAGAAAUUCUGUUGAGUGGCUUCUGAGAAAGUUUUACUUUUUAAAUAAAAGAAUCCAUGUGCUAAACCUUCCUAACACGAGCCAGUGCUAGUUCUGAAAGAGAUAGCUAAGCGUAUUAUUCUUUUGCUCUGAAACACUCUAAUGGAAAUAGCAUGAUUGCAUUUCUCCCUGGGAUUGCAAUCCGUUUGCAAGUGCCCUUUCCUUCCACUAUGAUCUCUCAUUGUUUCCAAUUAUUGCCUUUUAACACACACAUUUCCCCCUACCAUAGCUAAUUUUUUUUCUCAGUAGGUGUACCAUUUACCCACAUAGUUGGUAAUAACAGAAGCUAUGCUAAUAUUAGCUAUGCUAAUAUUUCUCUUUGGCCCCACAACCAGGGAGACUUCAUAGUAUUUGAAAGGUAAAGAAAAAUAGGUUUAGUCCUGCCUCUUGGUAACAGAAUCACAUUUAUAGUUACCCAAAUUUGGCUACAUGGGAUAAAGUUAUGAUCCAGCCAAAAAUACCUGUAAAAUUAUAUAUUGUCAAGAUAAAUGGCAUAUUGUGUCUUAUUCAUUUAUAUCACCUUUCUUGGGCACAUGUAAAUUUCAACCCAGGCCUGGUAUCCGUAGAUAAGGCAAAAUGAAAAAAUUUUGUGAAGUGAGAAAUUUACAAAGUUGUGUAAUUUCAUUUCUCCCACCCCUCCUUCUCACAUCCAGAUCUUUUGGAAUAGUUCCAGUGAAGUCUUCACUUUAUUUCCUGUAAUAUUCAAUCAUUUGAAUGAAUAACUCUGAAAAUAUUUUUUCAAUGCCUGUUGAGAAACAAAGGAUUCAAAUCCCAUUUCAAUUUUUCAGUGAAAUCACUGCUCUGAGCAUGAAAGAGAAUGUGGUAUAACGAUGUAACAUUAUUUUUCUUUCUUGAGAUGGAGUUUCACUCUUAUUGCCCAGGCUGGAGAUGUUCACUUCUAUACAUUGGUAGAAGAAAAGCAUGUACCUUAAUCAAAAGAAAUAUAUUUAAGUGGGCAAAAUUGAUGGAUACUUUGCUUUUCUGGAACCUUGCAAAGUAUUCUCAGAGGUUGCUUCUCUUACCAGACAAGCAAACCCAUUGUAGUACUCUCUCAAUCCAAUUAAAGCCUAUCUGUGGUCUCCUGGGAAUACCAGUAAUGAAAGAAUGGAAUCCACUUGCCAGCUUUGUACUUGCCUCUGUCCUCAAGUAACCUUACUCAAACCAUUCCAAGAGAUUUCUGUUUUUGUAGAUGAAGCUACAGUUUCUUAUUGCAUUAGUCAGGUAGGGGUGCACUGGAGCAUAAAUUGCACAACAGAGAUGGUUCCUCCUUGACGCAAAGCAUUGGUCUAUCAUACCUUAGCAUCAGUUAGUCAGUCAUUAGCUGUAGGCUGUGGUGGGAGAGUAGAUCUUAAAUAUCUUUUUACUUUAUUCCCAGUAUAGGGCCAGAACACUUAUGUUGCAUGAACAUCUGGUGGCCAUCAUCUGAGAGCUAUUCUCCAGGAAAGUACGUGGGUAGACACCUGUGAUCCAUUAGCUGCCAGCACUUACAACAGCUUGGGGAUGGGUGUAAUUGCUGAUAAGAGUGAUUUGGGAGGGGCACCAACAUCAUCUCAUAUACCUGCUAUAUCCCACCUAUAAUCUCACACACACACAUAAUUGGUUUGAGAACUCUAACUAAAAAUGUAUUAAAGAGGAGGCUGAAAAAUAGGUUAGAAAUAUUAUUGAUAAAGCAGUAGACGUAUAGUAUGAAGGAAGUUGAUGGUGUGUAUUGUAAGAGGAAAUAAUUGCCUACUAUCUGGGUCAAUUCAGAAAGAUAGACACAAACAGAUUUAGUAAGGGUAAGCAUACUGAUAAGCAUGAGUGCUCACCAGUUAGAAAAGAAUUUUUAAAACUCUGGUGGCAGAAAAAUUGUUGCAAGACAUUUAUAUAAUUUGAACUUUUACCAGCCGUUCCUUUUGAAUAAUUAUUACCUGCGCCUGAUCAGAAAUGGACUUGGAUAUAAAACUUGGGGCCAG